GGACCCUUAGCUCAGCUGGUCAGAGCGCUCGGCUCAUAACCGAUCGGUCGCAGGUUCGAAUCCCGCAGGGUCCACCA
rnacentral:tRNA from 2 species